GCGCUGGUGGUGUAAUGGGCUAGCAUCCUGCCCAGAAAGCGGGGGUUGCGAGUUCGAGUCCCGCCUGGCGCU
rnacentral:tRNA from 1 species